UACGUAGGCAGCAAGCGUUGUUCGGAGUUACUGGGCGUAAAGGGUGCGUAGGCGGCUUUUUAAGUUUGGUGUGAAAUCUCCCGGCUUAACUGGGAGGGUGCGCCGAAAACUGGAAGGCUUGAGUGCCGGAGAGGAUAGCGGAAUUCCCGGUGUAGCGGUGAAAUGCGUAGAUAUCAGGAGGAACACCAGAGGCGAAGGCGGCAUACUGGACGAUUACUGACACUCAAUUGCGAAAGCGUGGGGAGCAAACAGG
rnacentral:rRNA from 1 species